UACGAACCGUGCGAACGUUGUUCGGAAUCACUGGGCUUAAAGGGCGCGUAGGCGGGUUCGCAAGUCUGUGGUGAAAGCCCCCAGCUUAACUGGGGAAGUGCCGUGGAUACUGCGAAUCUUGAGGAGGGUAGGGGCGUCUGGAACGGUCGGUGGAGCGGUGAAAUGCGUUGAUAUCGACCGGAACUCCGGUGGCGAAGGCGAGGCGCUGGACCCUUUCUGACGCUGAGGCGCGAAAGCCAGGGGAGCAAACGGG
rnacentral:rRNA from 1 species